rnacentral:rRNA from 1 species
UGAAAAAACUAACCAGGAUUCCCCUAGUAACGGCGAGUGAAGCGGGAAGAGCUCAAAUUUGUAAUCUAACUGUCUUUGGCAGUUCGAGUUGUAAUCUCGAGAAGUGUUUUCCGUGUUGGACCGCAUACAAGUCUGUUGGAAUACAGCGUGAAAAAGGUGAUAACCCUGUACAUGAUGCGGAUACAGCCAAUACUAUAUGAUACACUUUCGAAGAGUCGAGUUGUUUGGGAAUGCAGCUCAAAUUGGGUGGUAAAUUCCAUCUAAAGCUAAAUAUUGGCGAGAGACCGAUAGCGAACAAGUACCGUGAGGGAAAGAUGAAAAGCACUUUGGAAAGAGAGUUAACAGUACGUGAAAUUGUUGGAAGGGAAACGCUUCAACUUAGACUUGCAGGUAGGGGUUCAGCCAUUUGGUGUACUCCCUUAUUCGCAGGCCAGCAUCAGUUUUCGGGGGUGAAAAAUCGUUUUUAAAAGGUAGCAUUCCUCGUGAAUGUGUUAUAGUUUUAAACUGGAUUCAUCCUUGGGGACUGAGGUAUGUAGGGUACUGUAUUGUAUCAGUUUCGGCUGAUUUUACCCUUUGGAUGCUGGUAGAAUGGGUUGAAACGACCCGUCUUGAA